rnacentral:rRNA from 1 species
AUUGAACGCUGGCGGCAGGCCUAACACAUGCAAGUCGAGCGAGCGGCGGACGGGUGAGUAAUGUCUGGGAAACUGCCUGAUGGAGGGGGAUAACUACUGGAAACGGUAGCUAAUACCGCAUACCAUCAGAUGUGCCCAGAUGGGAUUAGCUAGUCGGUGGGGUAACGGCUCACUUAGGCGACGAUCCCUAGCUGGUCUGAGAGAAUGACUAGCACGACUGGAACUGACACACGGUACAGACACCUACGGGAGGAAGCUGAGGGGAAUAUUGCACAAUGGGCGAAAGCCUGAAGCAGCCAUGCGGCGUGUGUGAAGAAGGCCGUGGGGGUGUAAUGCACUUUCAGCGGGGAGGCGUUACCCGCAGAAGAAGCACCGGCUAACUCCGUGCCAGCAGCCGCGGUAAUUC